rnacentral:lncRNA from 1 species
AUUCAAACAUCAAAGUAUAAUUUUUUUUAUAUUUUAAAAAUCUAAAAUACAAAUACUAUUUAAUUUUAAUUUUAAUUUUUUUUAAUAUUAUAAUGCACAAUUUUAAAGAUUUUGAAGCAAAACUUAUCAUUUUUUUUGAGAUAUAGCUCAAAAUAAAACCACUAAUAAAGCAUGUAAUUUAUUGUUCUUAGAUUGAACUUAAUAAAUUUAAAUUUUAAUAUCUCUAU